AGCAACGUCUGUGGCUGUUCCAGGACAGGUCCAGUAAAACACACACAGCAGAUGGUGAAAAAGUCUGCAGCCCCCAAUUCUUUAAUCCUUUCUGCGUUGGCUGUUGUUUCCAGACCGUGUCAGGUUGCUCUUUCCUGGACCAGCUCCAGCUCAUCUGCAUUAUCCUUAAGCUGUGGAGCACCACGCUGUGCCCAGGGAGAGGUGUCACCUCCCAUCGAUGCACCCAAGGGUGGCCCUUGUGCCUGCCCUUUCCCUCCUGAGUAUCAUCCCAAGCUGGAUCCCAUCACCACCUCCUCAGCUAUUUUUGUUGUGUUUUAGACCUCUCCAGAUGCUAUUCCCCAACCUGGAUUUGGAUGUUAGUUAUCCAUUUGAAACACAGCCCUUUGCUUCUCCGCUCCCACUGAAUUCUGUGCGCAGCUCCCUCGGAAUAAAUGCCAUGAAUUUAUUAA